GGCCGGGCCCCGCCUCCAUUGAGCCCCAGAAAGCUCGCAGUCGAACCCCGACCCACCGCCACGCCCCCUUUCUGGAAAGGAUCCGCGGCGGCUGCAGCUGCCAAGGUCCCCGAGGGCGCUCGCGGCAGGGGAGGAUCAAGGAAAGACUUGUUUAUUAUAGGGUUGCAUUGCUGGAGGAGGGGACAGCCCGUGACCAGGCUAGGAGGAGAGGUGGGAGACCCACUUAUGGAGACAAAUUUAUGGAUUAAAAAAAGAAAUCAGGGGAUCCAGGAGACAUCUUAAAGACAGCUGCAGAAUGGAAUAGUUUGUGAGCCACUGGGACUUUCAAGGCCUUCUCUUCCCAUUCUUCAAGCUCUGUCGCUUGUUGGAGCCUUAAAGACACCAGAUUGCUUAACAAUGGGGAUAUAAAAAUUAAAAAUAAUAAAAGACACUGGAUCAAGGCGGCUAGUUGUUCUUGGAGGGCUGGAGUAGAUGACAUACUCUUGAAAUCACUCUUACAGAGGUGACCUGCAUGGGUGUGUCUUCCUGCUGGCCAGAGAGAAGAUCUGAAUUAAUCCAUCAGGAACAUUCACAUUUCCUCCAGGCUGAUUUGGGCGGGACACCUAAACACCCUAAGGAAACAAGAGUUACGAUGUUUUUUCUUCUUCUUCUUCUUUUUUUUUUUUUUUUUGAGAUGGGGUCUCACUCUUUCACCCAGGCUGGAGUGCAGUGGUGCGAUCUUGGCUCACUGCAAGCUCCGCCUCCCGGGUUCACAC
rnacentral:lncRNA from 10 species